AGUGAGGUAAUCGAACCACUCAUCAGGGAUUCAGAAGAAACGGAUGUCGACAGUAAGAGGUGCUUGUUGCCGCCAUCGACACCCUGAAACAUCUGCCAUACUACAGCAAGCCGGAAGACGACCAUUUUCAUAUUAGCCGCCAGCUUUCCGGCAUAUUGCGCCUGUAGUAUCAUAAGUUGACCAACGCUUCGGAGGUGCGUACUGCCUCCGUCAUCAGGACGAUGAUGAUGGCCAUCUGUAUUGCUGAAAGCUGCCGAUAGGUGUUCGAAAAUUUACAAUGGCACUGAGCAUUUGGGGAAACUUCAGAGUGUAAUAUAUACACGUCAAACGUAUGAGAGAGCAACAUGAACAGAAUGAUUUGCACAAAUUCACGACUGUCAAAUGAGAUGAUUAGAAGCGAUUAAUUUGUCAUCGGAUAGCUGCUAGUGACGGUCUCUGGUGAACAAGGUAAUGAACUUUCGGGUUCUGUAAAUAUCUCUCCAUUCUCGAGGACUUUGCCCUUUUAUAGACAGUACCGUAAUUUAUAUUGGUGUAUAGUUGCAAUCAAAAAUGGUAUUUAGGUAAAAACACUUCCCAUAAACAUUUUAUAUUUCCCAUAAUUAAGCUGCUUAUUUAUAAAUAUAUGAUUCGCUGUAAAAUGUGUCAUAAACACUAAAAUAAACUAAAUUAUUUCACAUUCGUCAUGUUUUUGUUUGUCUGAGUAUCGUUUAAGUGGAGUUCAUGAACUGGCGUCCACUUGGUUAAUGUUUUUAGGAUUAUCCAUAUAAUUUCUGUACCUAACCAAAUGCUUUCUAAGAAUAGGACUCUGCCAGCUGACACACGCUUGGCGCUGGUUCACUUUGACCAGCUUGCUGUACCACUCUCUCUUUCGUAUGUACUACGCAUUUCAAAAACGUUUUGUAUCCUCAGGCUAUAAAAAUAAUACUGAUGACUGUACACAAUAUAUAUUAAUGAUUCUAAAAGGACUUUACAACUUUGAAGGUAUCUAGAAAUUUAAUCAGAAACCUUACAUAAUCAUUUGAGGUGUCAGAUUUCUAUACACUUUCAAAGAUGUAAAGUCCUUUUAGAAUCAUCCUGUAUAUUAAUGAUUCUUAUCGAUAUUAGAAUGUAAUCGAAUAGCUUGGGAACAAACUACUUUUUGAGGCCAGAUAUCAAAAGCUUUUUCAGUUCCUUGGUGUAAAGAGGAGGGUUCUGAGGAAUAUAUUUGCGCCCAGGAGUGAUGAACUGACUGGAGAUCGCAAAGAAUUACACAGUCAAGAGCUUGACAAUUAGUGCUGUUCCCGAAAUAAUUUUGGAAUAACGAAGUCGACGAUGAAGUCGGCAGAGUGAAGAUCAGAAAUUCGUACGUUUUGUUUGGAAAGCCAGAAAGGAGAGGCCAACCUGCGGGCUUAGGUGUAGGUGCGAGAAUAAUACCAUUAAUGAAAUUAAUCGUAGGGAAAUGAAUUUGGGAGUGGAAACUUCUCCCUGUUGUUUAUUAUUAUUGUCAUCAUUUUAUAAGUUUUUUUUGUUUUGUUUUAUAUAGUAUUAUUAAUUGAAUUAUAUGACUUAGGUAUAUUUAGUUUAUUUACU